AAGACCCUAUMGAGUUUUAUAAUUUAUAUUUAAUAUUAAAAAAAAUUAAUAGAUAUUUUUAUUUAAAUAAUUAUUUUGUUGGGGUGAUGAUAAAAUUUAACUAACUUUUAUUUUUUUUUACMUUAAUAUAUGGGAAAUUGAUCCCCCAUUARUGAUUAAAARAWUAAAUUACCUUAAGGGAUAACAGCSUAAUUUUUUUUUUAAGUUCMNAUUAAUAAAAAAUUUUGCSACC
rnacentral:rRNA from 1 species